rnacentral:rRNA from 1 species
AUAAUUGUCAGCUAAGUGGCGCACGGGUGAGUAAUGUAUAGAUAACCUGCCCUUAAGAAAGGAAUAACAGUUGGAAACGACUGCUAAUGCCCUAUAUGCCUUUAAUACAUAAGUAUGCAAGGGAAACGCUUUAGUGCUUAAGGAUGGGUCUGUAUGGUAUCAGCUUGUUGGUGAGGUAAUGGCUCACCAAGGCUAUGACGCCUAACUGGUUUGAGAGGAUGAUCAGUCACACUGGAACUGAGACACGGUCCAGACUCCUACGGGAGGCAGCAGUGGGGAAUAUUGCACAAUGGACGAAAGUCUGAUGCAGCAACGCCGCGUGGAGGAUGACACAUUUCGGUGCGUAAACUCCUUUUAUAUAGGAAGAUAAUGACGGUACUAUAUGAAUAAGCACCGGCUAACUCCGUGCCAGCAGCCGCGGUAAUACGGAGGGUGCAAGCGUUACUCGGAAUCACUGGGCGUAAAGAGCGUGUAGGCGGGUAUAUAAGCCAGAAGUGAAAUCCAAUAGCUCAACUAUUGAACUGCUUUUGAAACUGUAUACCUAGAAUGUGGGAGAGGUAGAUGGAAUUUCUGGUGUAGGGGUAAAAUCCGUAGAGAUCAGAAGGAAUACCGAUUGCGAAGGCGAUCUACUGGAACAUUAUUGACGCUGAGACGCGAAAGCGUGGGGAGCAAACAGGAUUAGAUACCCUGGUAGUCCACGCCCUAAACGAUGUACACUAGUUGUUGUGAGGCUCGACCUUGCAGUAAUGCAGUUAACACAUUAAGUGUACCGCCUGGGGAGUACGGUCGCAAGAUUAAAA